GACGAACGCUGGCGGCGUGCUUAACACAUGCAAGUCGAACGGAAAGGCCCUGCUUUUGUGGGGUGCUCGAGUGGCGAACGGGUGAGUAACACGUGAGUAACCUGCCCUUGACUUUGGGAUAACUUCAGGAAACUGGGGCUCAUACCGGAUAGGAGCUCCUGCUGCAUGGUGGGGGUUGGAAAGUUUCGGCGGUUGGGGAUGGACUCGCGGCUUAUCAGCUUGUUGGUGGGGUAGUGGCUUACCAAGGCUUUGACGGGUAGCCGGCCUGAGAGGGUGACCGGCCACAUUGGGACUGAGAGACGGCCCAGACUCCUACGGGAGGCAGCAGUGGGGAAUAUUGCACAAUGGGCGGAAGCCUGAUGCAGCAACGCCGCGUGCGGGAUGACGGCCUUCGGGUUGUAAACCGCUUUCGCCGGUGACGAAGAGUGAGUGACGGUAAUGGGUAAAGAAGCAACGGCUAACUACGUG
rnacentral:rRNA from 1 species